rnacentral:lncRNA from 1 species
GGGGCACCCCGGGAGUGAAGGGUUAACCCUUCUCAGUGGUUGUUGUUCCUGGGGCACAUCCAGUAUUCAAAGAACCCUUGUGUGGUAGUUUGCAUGUUAUUGGCCCCCAUAAUCUCACAGGGAGUGGCACUAUUAGGAGGUGUGGCUUUGUUGGAGGAAGUGUGUCACUGUGGGGGAGGGCUUUGAGGUUUCCUAUGCUCAGGAUACUGCCCAGUGUCUGAGUCCACUUCCUGUUGCCUUCUGAUCAAGAUGUAGCCAGCACCGUGUCUGCCUGCAUGCUGUCAUGUUCCCUGCCAUGAUGAUGAUGGACUGAACCUCUGAACUGACCUUCUAGUCAACCAAUAUUAAACCUCCCCUCCUCCAAAUCUUCCUGGAAGGAAUCAAAGCUCCAGAAAACUCUAAAAUAUUACAACAGUGAACACCUACGUGCAGACGGUGAGGGUUCUAAAAUCAGGUGUGGCUUUCAAUCUACAGUAUUGUGUUCAUCGGACCUGGGGCAAGUAAUUUAAACUCUCCAAACUUCCGUUUCCACAGCCAUAAAAUUGUGGGAAUAUACCUCAUGAAGGUCCCAUAAAGAAACACUUAAUAUCUGCCAAAUAAUUGCUGAAUGCCAGACUCAGAUGUAAGGGCUAAAAGUCUUAACUCACUUAGAAAUUACAAGUACCUUGGGAGAGUCCUGUUCAUCCUCAUUCUGAAGAUGAAGAAAGUGACAGACGGGGCUGCAGAGUGGUCACGAGCCCGCGCUGCUUCCAGAAAGACCCAGUUCAGUUUCUGUCACCUGCAUCAGGUGGCUCACAACUUCCUGAAACUCCAAUCCCAGGGGAUCUGACAUCCUCAUCUGGCCUCUGUGGGUGCUUACAUGUGUGUGUUGUGUAUACAUGUACUCAGGCACACAUACAAAUACAGAAAAUAAAGAUAGGCAUUUUGUCCCUUAAAGUGAGGGACAAAGAGGAUUUAAAAAAAUAAAAUGAGUUCAAGGUCACUCAAUGGAAUUGUAGAAUUACAAGUGGAACCAAAUCAUCUCACUGCAAAGCCAGGACUCCAGAGCACUGACCCAGCAAUCUGCCUUAGUGGCAACACCCCACCUUCCCCAGAUGGGUCUGAAGAGCAGCUGGAUUGGGAUAAGGAGAUGAGGACACUGACAAGGCCAGUGUCUUGUCUUGAAUUCUAUUUCCAAGAAUUCCCCAAGGGACAGCAGCAUCCAAAACUCCCUAAGGACCCUGCUGGCUCAGUGUGUGGUCAGUUCUGAACAGCCCUCCACUGUCUAAUUGCCACAUCAUUCAAGCAGCUCAUUUAUGAGAGCUUUUUAUUAUUCCCCAGGGAGUGUGAAAACCUCCUCAUGAAUAUCUCAUCCAAAAUGCCAGAGGCAAGAUUGACUUAGCCAGGAUCUGUGGCAGAUGAGGUUCUGUGAGCUAGAGGCUGGUUGCCCUUAGUCAGGUGUCCACUGUAUGCCAUCACAAACCAAAGAGAACGAGUGCAGCCACAUGAGCCGAGCUUUGAUCUCACAGGUGCAAGCAAAUCCCAAACUCUCUCUUGGCAUCGCUGUAUCUGGUGCCACACUCUAUGCUGAGUGACUGACUUACACAACCCAGUCUAAUCACCGUGAGGACAUAAUUAUUUUAUUGAUCACACAGAUGUUGCAAAAGGCGCUCCAAUACUGCCACUUCAAGCCGUGUAAGUGCAACUAACCCUGAAGAUCCACAUUCUCUGGAAACCCUACUUUUAAGACAAGAUUUAUUUGUUUAUUUUUAUUUUAUGUGAAUGUUGGUGCCUGAGUGUAUGCAUGUACACGCAGUGACCUCGGAGACCGGAAGAGGGCAUCAGACCCCGAAACUACAGUUACUGAAGACUCUGAGAAGUCCAAGAUGGAGGCAUGUGUUUCACAGCUCAGAGAGGUAAAAGCACAGGCCACUCAGGCCUGACAUCGUGAGUUCAGUCCCCAGAAACCACACAAAAAGCUAGAUGCCAUUGUGUGUAUCUGCAGUCCCAGAACGCCUGUGGUGAGAUGGGAGAUGGAGCUGGGAUCACUGUCUUAGCUAGGGUUUCUGUUGCUGUGAUGAAACACCAUGACCAAAGCAAGCUGGGAGAAAAGAGUUUAUUCAGCUCACACUUCCACAUCACUGUGAUCACUGAAGGAAGAGGGCGGGAACCUGGAGGCAGGAGCUGGUGCAGAAGCAUGAAGGAACGCUGCUUACUGACUGGUUCCCCACGGCUUGCUCAGCCUGCUUUCUAUAGAGCCCAGGUCCAUGCACUAUGGCGGAGCCUGCCCCAUCAAUCACUAACCGGAAAAACUGCUUUACAGGAUUGCCUG